rnacentral:lncRNA from 1 species
GGUUUGUCCCUGUUCCACUUAAAAUUUUCCUGUACUGCUAAUGACCCUCUUUACCACCCUUUGGGAGACACUCCAUGAUCUCGUUUAACCUUCCCCGAAAACCAUUUGUGCCAGUGUUCGCUAUGCUUUUCUGAUUUAGCACAGGAAGCACUGGGAGAUUUCAUGACCCACUGAAGGGCACAGAACUGACAUGAAGACCCAGCAGCUCGUUUUAUCACCUGUCUCAUACACUGGAUUCUGGGGAGAUCUGCCUUCCCACCAAGCUUUCUAUUAGUGGAGCCCUCAGCAGUGACUGCACAGAAGAGAACGGUGAGAGCAGAGCUGUGGCUAAUGCGAGGACACAGCAGUCCUGCCCUG